UACGAAGGGGGCUAGCGUUGUUCGGAAUCACUGGGCGUAAAGCGCACGUAGGCGGGUCGUUUAAGUCGGGGGUGAAAUGCCAAGGCUCAACCUUGGAACUGCCUUCGAUACUGGCGAUCUCGAGUCCGGGAGAGGUGAGUGGAACUCCGAGUGUAGAGGUGAAAUUCGUAGAUAUUCGCAAGAACACCAGUGGCGAAGGCGGCUCACUGGCCCGAUACUGACGCUGAGGCACGAAAGCGUGGGGAGCAAACAGG
rnacentral:rRNA from 1 species